UACGUAGGGUGCGAGCGUUAAUCGGAAUUACUGGGCGUAAAGCGUGCGCAGGCGGAUGUUUAAGUCAGAUGUGAAAUCCCCGGGCUUAACCUGGGAAUGGCAUUUGAAACUGGACGUCUAGAGUGCGUCAGAGGGGGGUGGAAUUCCACGUGUAGCGGUGAAAUGCGUAGAUAUCGGGAGGAACACCUGUGGCGAAAGCGGCUCACUGGACCGUUGUUGACGCUGAGACGCGAAGGCGUGGGGAGCAAAC
rnacentral:rRNA from 1 species